AUGGUCUCUACGAAAAUGCAGGCUUUUGUUUGUGUGGAAAUCCUCCAGCUUGUACUACUAGUUUUUAGCCAACUUGGAGUCCGCGAGGCGCUCCGCCAGCUCGAGGAAGGGGAGCAGGUGGCCGAAGGCGAGCCACGGGAAGACGACGAUGCAUGUGCGGCGGGGGAGAGUCGGCGGCGGCGUCCAUCUCCGCGCGCUAGCUGCAGCGAGGGUCGACGGACCACAGUACGUACGCAGGGACGAUCGACGGGAUCCACAGGAGUGGAGGACGAUCGAGUAGUGAGGUUCGGUGUCCGGACUCCCAUCGAGGACUUUGGAGCGUAA
rnacentral:rRNA from 1 species